rnacentral:lncRNA from 1 species
AAAGCUGCUAUUCUACGUGGAUUUUAUUACUUUACCCACGGCAUAAUCUUAUCUGAGGCUUGUCUGCUCAUCUUUCUUCAUUCUCGGUUUUCCCUCUUUUUGGUCUUGCUUACUGAUUUCUCUUGGGAAUUUCACUCCCAAUAUAGAACAAUUUAUCUCUCUUGUGCUCAACCCAAAGUCAAUUUUAUUUGAUUUCAAUUCAAUUGAAUUCUAAGAUUUUUUUUGCUGUACAAAAUUGAUUAAUAUUCCGUUUAAAUAUUUCAGAGUUUUUUUAUGGAAGAGCGUGGAAAAAACCAUGAAAGGACCAAUUUUAAUUGCAAAUCUAAAUGUCAUAGGAUUGUCAUGGACGUUACACAGCAUGUGCUUCAAGAUGCUUUUAACCAUUUAUGUAAAAAUAUCAUUGUCAGGUUUGUACUUUUUCAUAUUCAAGUUUUUCUUCUAAUUUAUGCAAAAUUUUGGGAUUCUUAGGGAUUCAGUAUGUUUGAAUGUAUAGCUUUGUGUUGAAUGCAAAGAAAUCCAAACUAUUAAAAAUCAUAAUGGGUUGAUUCGGAUCUUUGAUAAUGUCUUGGACGAAUAUUUUUUUAUGUCUACUCAUUACUUUGAACCUUAUAGUCUUUCUUAUUUUGUGCUUUUUACUUUUUUCUGCUUUUUGAGUACGUUUGAAAAUAAAUAAAUUAGAAUUGAGUUUUUCAUCUUUAUGCUUGGGUCAAUGUAAUUUAUAUUUUUCUGAUAGGUUUCAGAAACAAAGUGUGAAAUAGCAUUUUCUUAGUACCUACUAAGUUUUAAAUUUUUUCCUAACUCAAUGAAUCAACCCCUAAGGUGUUCCAUGAAACUCCUUGGGGACCUUCUUUUAAUGAACAUAAGCUUCAAUAAUCUAUGACAGUCCUCUCUAUUAAAACAAUCCAUGAUAGUCUUUUAUAAAAAUUGGUUUGGUUCGUCUCUGUAACUUAAUAUCUGAUGUAAAAGUUAAAAUAAAAUAAGAAAGACAAGGUUGAUAACUUGAUAUGAACAAAAUCAAAAUUAUUACUUUCAAUUCUUGAAUUAUGAGAUGUGAGGAACUGAUUUUAUAGAGUAAAUGAUGAGGAAAUAGAGUAAAAAACGAACGAAAAGGACAAAGAAACUAAGGAAAGUGUUCUAUUUUAGAUCUGAAGAGGUCAAGCCACUGAUAUUCACAACUUGGCAUCUCCUAUAUUUCACUAUCCACAAUGUCUGCAUUAUUAUUAGCUAAACUGUAAACUAUAUCCGACAUUAAAAAGAUACAACCUUAAGGUCUCCAUGUCAGAAGGACAAUCACUUUUUUCCCCUUCAUAUUUUGUUUCAUUUAUUAUGGCCCUUGUAACUCCUAUAUAUGAAUAUUGAACCAAAUGUUUGAGUAUUCAAAGUUAGGUGAAUGAAAAAAUCAAAAUUUAUCAAGAGAAUAAUUACACUUAACUCAAUUGAUACUUUAUCUAUAUUAUUUGUUAGGGAUUGCCAAAAGAGCAGCUAUUGUGUCUAUCAAUGGAAGUGGAUAAUAGUAUUUUUGUCACGCCCGGAGGUGUGGCUGGCACCUGGUGCCGUACCGGCCCGAGUGAACCAUUCUGUAACUCAUUCUUUCUGUGACCAUUGUUGGCCAACAUGGCAAUAACUCGUAGUGCAUAACUGUAAGUGAGCAACACUGUAUCAAUAAACUAUAGUUCUUAAGACAUAAAUACAUACGGGCCGUCAAGGCCUCUGACAUACUGUAUAAACUGAACCUUUGUCAACAAAGCCUCUAAGAUUAUUUGACAUCAAAUGGAAUAGGGUACCGGCCUACCCAUAAGUAUGAAGUAAAACUCUGACGCGAUGGCUCAUAGAUCCUAUUGUACUUCGAAUAAGGUGGAGUCUUACUGAUCCUUCGCUGAAUGCUAACACCGUCUACAAUGAGGGUUCAUCAAAUUGAU